rnacentral:rRNA from 1 species
CAUGCAAGUCGAGCGAAGCUUUUCAGUAGUUUACUACAGAAAAUGACUGAGCGGCGAACGGGUGAGUAACGCGUGAGCAACCUACCUUAGUUACUGGGAUAGCCCGAGGAAACUCGGAUUAAUACCGGAUAUUCUUAUUUAAUCACAUGACUUUUUAAGGAAAGGUCAGCCGAACUAAGAUGGGCUCGCGUUCUAUCAGCUAGUUGGUAGGGUAAUGGCCUACCAAGGCUACGACGGAUAGCUGGUCUGAGAGGACGAUCAGCCACACUGGGACUGAGACACGGCCCAGACUCCUACGGGAGGCUGCAGCAGGGAAUAUUGCGCAAUGAGCGAAAGCUUGACGCAGCGACACCGCGUGUGGGAUGACGGAUCUAGGUUUGUAAACCACUUUCAGGAGGGAAGAAAAUGACGGUACCUCCACAAGAAGCCCCGGCCAACUACGUGCCAGCAGCCGCGGUAAUACGUAGGGGGCGAGCGUUGUCCGGAUUUAUUGGGCGUAAAGAGCUCGUAGGCGGUUCAACAAGUCGGUCGUGAAAGUUCAGGGCUCAACCCUGAAAUGUCGAUCGAUACUGUUGUGACUAGGAUACGGUAGAGGUGAGUGGAAUUCCGAGUGUAGCGGUGAAAUGCGUAGAUAUUCGGAGGAACACCAAUUGCGAAGGCAGCUCACUGGGCCGCUAUCGACGCUGAGGAGCGAAAGCUAGGGGAGCAAACAGGAUUAGAUACCCUGGUAGUCCUAGCUGUAAACGAUGGAUACUAGACGUAGGAAUUGGAUUAACGAUUUCUGUGUCGUAGCUAACGCGUUAAGUAUCCCGCCUGGGGAGUACGGUCGCAAGACUAAAACUCAAAGGAAUUGACGGGACCCCGCACAAGCGGCGGAGCAUGCGGCUUAAUUCGAUGAUACCCGUAAAACCUUACCUGACUUGACAUAUAGGGAAAGUUAUAGAAAUAUAAUGUGCAUUAGCGCCCUAUACAGUGGUGCAUGCUGUCGUCAGCUCGUGUCGUGAGAUGUGGAUAGUCCCGCAACGAGCGCACCCCUGUCCUAUGUUGCCAGCAAGUAAUGUUGGGGACUCAUAGGAGAACUGCCGGUGAUAAA